rnacentral:sRNA from 1 species
UGAUCGUUCUGAAUGAAGUGGAUACCAUGUGGAGCAAGAGUGAGGGUGCCGUCCCUACAGUAGCCUCCUCUGUUGUGAUAGCGAGUUCUCCUUGCCCCUUUCUGGAGGCCCCCUCUGACUCAGGGCAUUGCUUGCUUUGCCCAGCAGAUGGACCGAGCGGAGAAUAAGGGUGAGCUUCAGACAGACAAGAUGAUGAGGGCAGCUGCCAAGGAUGUGCACAGGCUCCGAGGCCAGAGCUGUAAGGAACCCCCAGAAGUUCAGUCUUUCAGGGAGAAGAUGGCAUUUUUCACCCGGCCUCGGAUGAAUAUCCCAGCUCUCUCUGCAGAUGACGUCUAAUCGCCAGAAAAGUAUUUCCUUUGUUCCACUGACCAGGCUGUGAACAUUGACUGUGGCUAAAGUUAUUUAUGUGGUGUUAUAUGAAGGUACUGAGUCACAAGUCCUCUAGUGCUCUUGUUGGUUUGAAGAUGAACCGAUUUUUUAGUUUGGGUCCUACUGUUGUUAUUAAAAACAGAACAAAAACAAAACACACACACACAAAAAAA